CGCUGAUGAGGUCAGAUGGGGCGGAGAAGAGCUCGAUGGCGUUGACGAAGGCGAAGGUGGAGGGGGAGGCUGGGGUGAAGGAGAGGCGGAGUGAUCGGCCUGCGGCGGCUGGAACAAUGAAUUCCUUGAUGGAGGCGGCGGAGGGGGUGAAGUUUGUGAGGAGCGCGAAGUUGUUGAGGGAGACGUGGAAGGCGGCGGAGGAGAGGUGGGAGGAGGGAGUGGGGAAGGGGUAGAAGUGGAGGCGGAGGAUGUGGGGGGAGGGGGAUUUGAGGCGGAAUGAGUAGGAGGCGGGGGCGGUGAAGAUACGGGCGGACUGGGAGAGGAGGUUGGGGGAGGGGUGGGGGGAGGCGGCGGUGAGGCUGGGGCGCGGGGAGGGGGAGUCGGGGAGGAAGAGGCGG
rnacentral:misc_RNA from 1 species